GAUGAACGCUGGCGGCGUGCCUAAUACAUGCAAGUCGAGCGAACGGACGAGAAGCUUGCUUCUCUGAUGUUAGCGGCGGACGGGUGAGUAACACGUGGAUAACCUACCUAUAAGACUGGGAUAACUUCGGGAAACCGGAGCUAAUACCGGAUAAUAUUUUGAACCGCAUGGUUCAAAAGUGAAAGACGGUCUUGCUGUCACUUAUAGAUGGAUCCGCGCUGCAUUAGCUAGUUGGUAAGGUAACGGCUUACCAAGGCAACGAUGCAUAGCCGACCUGAGAGGGUGAUCGGCCACACUGGAACUGAGACACGGUCCAGACUCCUACGGGAGGCAGCAGUAGGGAAUCUUCCGCAAUGGGCGAAAGCCUGACGGAGCAACGCCGCGUGAGUGAUGAAGGUCUUCGGAUCGUAAAACUCUGUUAUUAGGGAAGAACAUAUGUGUAAGUAACUGUGCACAUCUUGACGGUACCUAAUCAGAAAGCCACGGCUAACUACGUGCCAGCAGCCGCGGUAAUACGUAGGUGGCAAGCGUUAUCCGGAAUUAUUGGGCGUAAAGCGCGCGUAGGCGGUUUUUUAAGUCUGAUGUGAAAGCCCACGGCUCAACCGUGGAGGGUCAUUGGAAACUGGAAAACUUGAGUGCAGAAGAGGAAAGUGGAAUUCCAUGUGUAGCGGUGAAAUGCGCGGAGAUAUGGAGGAACACCAGUGGCGAAGGCGACUUUCUGGUCUGUAACUGACGCUGAUGUGCGAAAGCGUGGGGAUCAAACAGGAUUAGAUACCCUGGUAGUCCACGCCGUAAACGAUGAGUGCUAAGUGUUAGGGGGUUUCCGCCCCUUAGUGCUGCAGCUAACGCAUUAAGCACUCCGCCUGGGGAGUACGACCGCAAGGUUGAAACUCAAAGGAAUUGACGGGGACCCGCACAAGCGGUGGAGCAUGUGGUUUAAUUCGAAGCAACGCGAAGAACCUUACCAAAUCUUGACAUCCUUUGACAACUCUAGAGAUAGAGCCUUCCCCUUCGGGGGACAAAGUGACAGGUGGUGCAUGGUUGUCGUCAGCUCGUGUCGUGAGAUGUUGGGUUAAGUCCCGCAACGAGCGCAACCCUUAAGCUUAGUUGCCAUCAUUAAGUUGGGCACUCUAAGUUGACUGCCGGUGACAAACCGGAGGAAGGUGGGGAUGACGUCAAAUCAUCAUGCCCCUUAUGAUUUGGGCUACACACGUGCUACAAUGGACAAUACAAAGGGCAGCGAAACCGCGAGGUCAAGCAAAUCCCAUAAAGUUGUUCUCAGUUCGGAUUGUAGUCUGCAACUCGACUACAUGAAGCUGGAAUCGCUAGUAAUCGUAGAUCAGCAUGCUACGGUGAAUACGUUCCCGGGUCU
rnacentral:rRNA from 1 species